rnacentral:rRNA from 1 species
UACGUAGGGUGCGAGCGUUAAUCGGAAUUAUUGGGCGUAAAGGGUGCGUAGAUGGCCUGAUAAGUUAGCAGUGGGAAAUCGAGGCUCAACCUCGUGGAAGCUGGUAAUACUGUCAGGCUCGAGUGCAGGAGAGGUUAACGGAACUCCAUGUGGAGCGGUAAAAUGUGUAGAUAUAUGGAAGAACACCAAUAACGGCGAAGGCAGUUAACUAUUCUGUUACUGACAUUGAGGCACGAAAGCGUGGGGAGCAAACAGG